UACGUAGGGUGCGAGCGUUGUCCGGAAUUAUUGGGCGUAAAGGGCUCGUAGGCGGUUUGUCGCGUCGGGAGUGAAAUCCACUGGCUUAACUGGUGGCUUGCUUUCGAUACGGGCAGACUGGAGGUAUGCAGGGGAGAACGGAAUUCCUGGUGUAGCGGUGAAAUGCGCAGAUAUCAGGAGGAACACCUGUGGCGAAAGCGGCGCACUGGACCAUAACUGACGCUGAUGCGCGAAAGCUAGGGGAGCAAACAGG
rnacentral:rRNA from 1 species